AUACGUAGGGGACGAGCGUUGUCCGGAAUUACUGGGCGUAAAGGGCGCGCAGGCGGUAUAUCAAGUCAGCUGUCAAAGACUGGGGCUCAACCCUGGUAUGCGGUUGAAACUGAUAUGCUGGAGUGCUGUAGAGGCAAGUGGAAUUCCCAGUGUAGCGGUGAAAUGCGUAGAUAUUGGGAAGAACACCGGUGGCGAAGGCGACUUGCUGGGCAGCAACUGACGCUGAGGCGCGAAAGCCAGGGGAGCAAAAGGGAUUAGAUACCCUGGUAGUCCACGCUGUAAACGAUGAAUACUAGGUGUGGGGGGACUGACCCCCUCCGCGCCGCAGUUAACACAAUAAGUAUUCCACCUGGGGAGUACGAUCGCAAGAUUGAAACUCAAAUGAAUUGACGGGG
rnacentral:rRNA from 1 species